rnacentral:tRNA from 1 species
CUGCCCGUAGCCCAGCUGGAUAGAGCGCAUGGCUACGAACCAUGAGGUCGGGAGUUCGAAUCUCUCCGGGCAGGCCA